rnacentral:rRNA from 1 species
ACACAUGCAAGUCGAGGGGCAGCAUGGUCUUAGCUUGCUAAGGCUGAUGGCGACCGGCGCACGGGUGAGUAACACGUAUCCAACCUGCCGUCUACUCUUGGACAGCCUUCUGAAAGGAAGAUUAAUACAAGAUGGCAUCAUGAGUCCGCAUGUUCACAUGAUUAAAGGUAUUCCGGUAGACGAUGGGGAUGCGUUCCAUUAGAUAGUAGGCGGGGUAACGGCCCACCUAGUCUUCGAUGGAUAGGGGUUCUGAGAGGAAGGUCCCCCACAUUGGAACUGAGACACGGUCCAAACUCCUACGGGAGGCAGCAGUGAGGAAUAUUGGUCAAUGGGCGAGAGCCUGAACCAGCCAAGUAGCGUGAAGGAUGACUGCCCUAUGGGUUGUAAACUUCUUUUAUAAAGGAAUAAAGUCGGGUAUGUAUACCCGUUUGCAUGUACUUUAUGAAUAAGGAUCGGCUAACUCCGUGCCAGCAGCCGCGGUAAUACGGAGGAUCCGAGCGUUAUCCGGAUUUAUUGGGUUUAAAGGGAGCGUAGAUGGAUGUUUAAGUCAGUUGUGAAAGUUUGCGGCUCAACCGUAAAAUUGCAGUUGAUACUGGAUAUCUUGAGUGCAGUUGAGGCAGGCGGAAUUCGUGGUGUAGCGGUGAAAUGCUUAGAUAUCACGAAGAACUCCGAUUGCGAAGGCAGCCUGCUAAGCUGCAACUGACAUUGAGGCUCGAAAGUGUGGGUAUCAAACAGGAUUAGAUACCCUGGUAGUCCACACGGUAAACGAUGAAUACUCGCUGUUUGCGAUAUACGGCAAGCGGCCAAGCGAAAGCGUUAAGUAUUCCACCUGGGGAGUACGCCGGCAACGGUGAAACUCAAAGGAAUUGACGGGG